CGUAGGGUGCGAGCGUUGUUCGGAAUCACUGGGCGUAAAGGGCGCGUAGGCGGCUUUGUAAGUCGGGGGUGAAAGCCUGUGGCUCAACCACAGAAUUGCCUUCGAUACUGCAUGGCUUGAGACCGGAAGAGGUUAGUGGAACUGCGAGUGUAGAGGUGAAAUUCGUAGAUAUUCGCAAGAACACCAGUGGCGAAGGCGGCUGACUGGACAAGUAUUGACGCUGAGGUACGAAAGCGUGGGGAGCAAACAGG
rnacentral:rRNA from 1 species